AGAAUGAACGCUGGCGGCGUGCUUUACACAUGCAAGUCGAGCGAGGCGUGUAGCAAUACACAGCCCUAGCGGCGAACGGGUGAGUAACGCGUGGAUGACCUGCCCUCCAGCGGGGAAUAACCCGGGGAAACUCGGGCUAAUACCGCAUACGUCCUGAGGGAGAAAGCGGGGGACCUAAGGGUAACUGAGGGCCUCGCGCGAUGGGAGCGGCCGAUAUCGGAUUAGCUAGUUGGUGGGGUAAAGGCUCACCAAGGCGACGAUCCGUAGCGGGUCUGAGAGGACGACCCGCCACACUGGAACUGAGACACGGUCCAGACUCCUACGGGAGGCAGCAGUGGGGAAUUUGGACAAUGGGGGCAACCUGAUCCAGCCAUUCCGCGUGAGUGAAGAAGGCCCUCGGGUUGUAAAGCUCUUUCAGCAGGAACGAAAACGGUCGGCUUUAAAUACGGUCGGCUAAUGACGGUACCUGCAGAAGAAGCAACCGGCAACUACGUGCCCAAGCAAGCCGC
rnacentral:rRNA from 1 species